rnacentral:rRNA from 1 species
UACGUAGGGGGCUAGCGUUGUCCGGGAUCAUUGGGCGUAAAGCGCGUGUAGGCGGUCCGGUAAGUCCGCUGUGAAAGUCGGGGGCUCAACCCUCGGAUGCCGGUGGAUACUGUCGGGCUUGAGUACGGAAGAGGCGAGUGGAAUUCCUGGUGUAGCGGUGAAAUGCGCAGAUAUCAGGAGGAACACCAAUUGCGAAGGCAGCUCGCUGGGACGUUACUGACGCUGAGGCGCGAAAGCGUGGGGAGCAAACAGG